rnacentral:rRNA from 1 species
GAUCAUGGCUCAGGAUGAACGCUAGCGGCAGGCUUAACACAUGCAAGUCGAGGGGCAACGCGGGGUAGCAAUACUCUGGCGGCGACCGGCGGAAGGGUGAGUAACGCGUGAGCAACAUGCCCGUAAGCGGGGGAUAGUCGGUGGAAACGCCGCGUAAUACCCCGUAACACUUGAGGCGGCAUCGCCUGAAGUUGAAAGAUUAAUCGCUUACGGAUUGGCUCGCGUGCCAUUAGGUAGACGGCGGGUAACGGCCCACCGUGCCGACGAUGGCUAGGGGUCUGAGAGGAAGGUCCCCCACAUUGGAACUGAGACACGGUCCAGACUCCUACGGGAGGCAGCAGUGAGGAAUAUUGGACAAUGGCCGGAAGGCUGAUCCAGCCAUGCCGCGUGACGGAAUGAGGCCCUACGGGUCGUAAACGUCUUUUAGUCGGGAGCAAUAAGGGGCACGCGCUGUCCCGAUGAGAGUACCGAUUGAAUAAGCAUCGGCUAACUCCGUGCCAGCCGCCGC